rnacentral:lncRNA from 1 species
AUAGCUUCCAAAAGAGUUGUGGUCAUCCUGGCUAAAGGAGCAGAGGAAAUGGAGGCAGUCAGCCCUGUAGACAUGAUGAGACAAGCUGAGAUUAAGGUCACCAUUGCAGGUCUGGCUGGAAAAGACCCACUACAGUGUAGCUGUGAUGUUGUUAUUUGUCCUGAUGUCAGUCUUGAAGAUGCAAAAAAGAGGGACCAAAUGACACGAUGUUUCUAACAGGAGGUAAUCUGGGUGCACAGAUUUUAUUUGAGUCCGCUGCCUUGAGAGAGAUACUGAAGGAACAAGAAAACGAGAAGGGCCUCAUAGCUACCAUUUAUUCAGGUCCUGCAGGUCUGUUGGCUCAUGAAAUAGGUUUUGGAAGUAAAGUUACAACAUACCUACUUGCUAAAGACAAAAUGAUGAAUGGAAGUCAUUACAGCUACUCUGAGAAUUGUGUGGAAAAGGACGGCCUGAUUUUUACAAGUCGGGGGGCCUAGGACUGGCUUCAUGUCUACUCUUGGGAUUGUUGAGGCCUAAGAGCCAAAGAGGUGGUGGCUGAAGUGAAGGCUCGACUUGUUCUUAAAGACUAG